AUUGAACGCUGGCGGCAGGCUUAACACAUGCAAGUCGAGCGGGGGAAGGUAGCUUGCUACUGGACCUAGCGUCGGACGGGUGAGUAAUGCUUAGGAAUCUGCCUAUUAGUGGGGGACAACAUCUCGAAAGGGAUGCUAAUACCGCAUACGUCCUACGGGAGAAAGCAGGGGAUCUUCGGACCUUGCGCUAAUAGAUGAGCCUAAGUCGGAUUAGCUAGUUGGUGGGGUAAAGGCCUACCAAGGCGACGAUCUGUAGCGGGUCUGAGAGGAUGAUCCGCCACACUGGGACUGAGACACGGCCCAGACUCCUACGGGAGGCAGCAGUGGGGAAUAUUGGACAAUGGGGGGAACCCUGAUCCAGCCAUGCCGCGUGUGUGAAGAAGGCCUUAUGGUUGUAAAGCACUUUAAGCGAGGAGGAGGCUACUUUAGUUAAUACCUAGAGAUAGUGGACGUUACUCGCAGAAUAGGCACCGGCUAACUCUGUGCCAGCAGCCGCAGUAA
rnacentral:rRNA from 1 species